rnacentral:lncRNA from 1 species
AUAAAGGGCCUUCUGACUGCUGUAAAAAGCUUUUAACACAAAUACGAUGGAAAGCCACCAGAGAUGUAUGAGUGGAGACAGGCACAAUCUGACUUAUAUUUGAAAUGGAUUGCUCUGGCACUGCGGACAGAAAACUGUGUAAACGUAUUUUCUCACAGUCCUGGAGGCUGGAGUCAGAGAUCAGGGUGCCAGCCUGGCUGGGUUCUGGUGGGGGCCCUCUUCCAGGCUUGCUCAUGACUGCCUUCUCUCACUGUGUCUCUCCCGUUGUUUGAGCCACAAAAUCUGUGGUAUUUUAUUAUCACAACCUGAGCUGCCUAGACAGGAUGUUAAGACUAGAUGAUCCGGGGAUCUCUUUUGGCUCCAAUAUUGCACAAUUUGAUGUAAUAUUUGAUAAUUUCUGUCUAAUUUUGUAAAAUUUCAUGCUAGCAAUGGAACUAAAGAAGUCUUUGUUUUAGAAUAUCCUUCUGAGAGUUAGGAAUGUAGAUCCAGGCUCCUUGGCUGUUUAGCAUCUCAGGCUGCAUUGUGAUAAGGAAGCAGACAGAAGAACUGGUAUCAAAGCCAAGUGUUUAUCCAAAUUCUACAUUAAGAAUAUAACGUUUUCAGUGAAGGUUUUUGUAGAUGUGAAAAAAGAGUACAUGUGAAAAGUAAGAAAAAGAAAGCCAACAACUGAAAUCUUCCAGGAUAACACCAAAAAAAGUGUUCCAACCUUGGCUUGGCUACAUGGAACACAGAAGGCAUCUACCAUGGUACCAAGGCAUGAAACAGAUGAGCCAGGACUCCCCAGCCCUUCAAUCAGCAGGUGGGCUGCAGCCACACAAAGGCUCACCACCUGAGGAACGACGUCUUGGCUGCAGGGUAACUUACUGAGUGUGGAUGAGCACGUGCUGCUUGAGGUCCUGCCUCCGCAUAAACAACUUGUCACAGUAAUCACACUUAAGAUUCUUCUCCCCAGUGUGGAUAACCAUGUGGGACUCCAGGUGAGCCUUCUGGGUGAAAGACUUGUCACACAAGGUACACCUGUAGUUCUUCUGACCUGCAAUCAGCCCAAAGUAUUACACCGUGAAGAAAACAACUGCUGGCAUCCCCAAGACACACAGGCACACAUAUGUGCAUGCAGCAGAGGCAGGAAUGAAACAGAGCUGACUGGACAAGUUUCCUAUUCAGUGCAUAAGAGAAACACUAAUGAAAAAUUGGCUGGGUAUGGUAGUUCACGCCUGUAAACCCAGCAGUUUGGGAGGCUGAGAAGGGAGGAUCACUUGAGUCCAGGAGUUCAAGACCAGCCUGGGGUAACACAGUGAGAUCCCAUCUGUUUAAAAAAAAUUAAAAAUAAUAAUAAAAGAAAA